AGUCGUAACAAGGUCUCCGUAGGUGAACCUGCGGAGGGAUCAUUACACAAAUAUGAAGGCGGGCUGGAACCUCUCGGGGUUACAGCCUUGCUGAAUUAUUCACCCUUGUCUUUUGCGUACUUCUUGUUUCCUUGGUGGGUUCGCCCACCACUAGGACAAACAUAAACCUUUUGUAAUUGCAAUCAGCGUCAGUAACAAAUUAAUAAUUACAACUUUCAACAACGGAUCUCUUGGUUCUGGCAUCGAUGAAGAACGCAGCGAAAUGCGAUAAGUAGUGUGAAUUGCAGAAUUCAGUGAAUCAUCGAAUCUUUGAACGCACAUUGCGCCCUUUGGUAUUCCAAAGGGCAUGCCUGUUCGAGCGUCAUUUGUACCCUCAAGCUUUGCUUGGUGUUGGGCGUCUUGUCUCUAGCUUUGCUGGAGACUCGCCUUAAAGUAAUUGGCAGCCGGCCUACUGGUUUCGGAGCGCAGCACAAGUCGCACUCUCUAUCAGCAAAGGUCUAGCAUCCAUUAAGCCUUUUUUUCAACUUUUGACCUCGGAUCAGGUAGGGAUACCCGCUGAACUUAAGCAUAUCAAUAGUCG
rnacentral:rRNA from 1 species